rnacentral:rRNA from 1 species
AUGAACGCUGGCGGCGUGCCUAAUCCCUGCAAGUCGAGCGAACAGACGAGGAGCUUGCUCCUCUGACGUUAGCGGCGGACGGGUGAGUAACACGUGGAUAACCUACCUAUAAGACUGGGAUAACUUCGGGAAACCGGAGCUAAUACCGGAUAAUAUAUUUAACCGCAUGGUUCAAUAGUGAAAGACGGUUUUGCUGUCACUUAUAGAUGGAUCCGCGCCGCAUUAGCUAGUUGGUAAGGUAACGGCUUACCAAGGCAACGAUGCGUAGCCGACCUGAGAGGGUGAUCGGCCACACUGGAACUGAGACGCGGUCCAGACUCCUACGGGAGGCAGCAGUAGGGAAUCUUCCGCAAUGGGCGAAAGCCUGACGGAGCAGCGCCGCGUGAGUGAUGAAGGUCUUCGGAUCGUAAAACUCUGUUAUUAGGGAAGAACAAAUGUGUAAGUAACUAUGCACGUCUUGACGGUACCUAAUCAGAAAGCCACGGCUAACUACGUG